rnacentral:rRNA from 1 species
GACGAACGCUGGCGGCGUGCCUAAUACAUGCCAGUCGAACGCAUUUUCUUUCACCGUAGCUUGCUACACCGAAAGAAAAUGAGUGGCGAACGGGUGAGUAACACGUGGGUAACCUGCCCAUCAGCGGGGGAUAACACUUGGAAACAGGUGCUAAUACCGCAUAAUUCCAUUUACCGCAUGGUAAAUGGAUGAAAGGCGCUUUUGCGUCACUGAUGGAUGGACCCGCGGUGCAUUAGCUAGUUGGUGGGGUAACGGCCUACCAAGGCUGCGAUGCAUAGCCGACCUGAGAGGGUGAUCGGCCACACUGGGACUGAGACACGGCCCAGACUCCUACGGGAGGCAGCAGUAGGGAAUCUUCGGCAAUGGACGCAAGUCUGACCGAGCAACGCCGCGUGAUUGAAGAAGGGUUUCGGAUCGUAAAACUCUGUUGUUAGAGAAGAACAAGGAUGAGAGUGGAAAGUUCAUCCCUUGACGGUAUCUAACCAGAAAGCCACGGCUAACUACGUG